AACGAACGCUGGCGGCAUGCCUAACACAUGCAAGUCGAACGAGACCUUCGGGUCUAGUGGCGCACGGGUGCGUAAGGCGUGGGAACCUGCCCUUAGGUUCGGAAUAACUCCCCGUAAGGGGUGCUAAUAUCGGCUAAUGUCUUCGGACCAAAGAUUUAUCGCGUUUGGGUGGGCCCAGGUUGGUUUAGCUUGUUGGUAGGGUAAAAGCCUACCAAGGCUACGAUCCAUAGCUGGUCUGAGGGGAUGAGCCGCCACACUGGGACGGGGACACGGCCGAGACUCCUACGGGAUGCAGCAGUGGGGAAUAUUGGACAAUGGGCGAAAGCCUGAUCCAGCAAUGCCGCGUGAGUGAUGAAGGCCUGAGGGUUGUAAAGCUCUUUUACCCGGGAUGAUAAUGACAGUACCGGGAGAAUAAGCACCGGCUAACUCCGUG
rnacentral:rRNA from 1 species